rnacentral:rRNA from 1 species
CCUACGGGAGGCAGCAGUGAGGAAUAUUGGGCAAUGGAGGAAACUCUGACCCAGCCAUGCCGCGUGCAGGAAGACGGCCCUAUGGGUUGUAAACUGCUUUUGUACGAGAAUAAACCUUUCCACGUGUGGAAAGCUGAAGGUACCGUACGAAUAAGGAUCGGCUAACUCCGUGCCAGCAGCCGCGGUAAUACGGAGGAUCCAAGCGUUAUCCGGAUUUAUUGGGUUUAAAGGGUCCGUAGGCGGGUCUUUAAGUCAGUGGUGAAAGCCUGCAGCUUAACUGUAGAAUUGCCAUUGAUACUGGAGGCCUUGAGUGUAGUAGAAGUAGGCGGAAUAAGGCAUGUAGCGGUGAAAUGCAUAGAUAUGCCUUAGAGCACCGAUUGCGAAGGCAGCUUACUAUGUUACAACUGACGCUGAGGGACGAAAGCGUGGGGAGCGAACAGGAUUAGAUACCCUGGUAGUCCACGCCGUAAACGAUGAUUACUCGCUGUUAGCGAUAUACAGUUAGCGGCCAAGCGAAAGCAUUAAGUAAUCCACCUGGGGAGUACGCCGGCAACGGUGAAACUCAAAGGAAUUGACGG